rnacentral:rRNA from 1 species
UUGUAAUCUCUAGAAAUGUUUUCCGCGUUGGACCGCACACAAGUCUGUUGGAAUACAGCGGCAUAGUGGUGAGACCCCCGUAUAUGGAGCGGACGCCCAGCGCUUUGUGAUACAUUUUCGAAGAGUCGAGUUGUUUGGGAAUGCAGCUCAAAUUGGGUGGUAAAUUCCAUCUAAAGCUAAAUAUUGGCGAGAGACCGAUAGCGAACAAGUACCGUGAGGGAAAGAUGAAAAGCACUUUGGAAAGAGAGUUAACAGUACGUGAAAUUGUUGGAAGGGAAACGCUUGAAGUCAGACUUGCUUGCUGAGCAAUCGGUUUGCAGGCCAGCAUCAGUUUUCCGGGAUGGAUAAUGGUAGAGAGAAGGUAGCAGUUUCGGCUGUGUUAUAGCUCUCUGCUGGAUACAUCUUGGGGGACUGAGGAACGCAGUGUGCCUUUGGCGGGGGUUUCGACCUCUUCACACUUAGGAUGCUGGUGGAAUGGCUUUAAACGACCCGUUCUUGAAACACGGACC